UACCCUGUCCUUUCUUCUGACUGUGUG
rnacentral:piRNA from 1 species